rnacentral:rRNA from 1 species
AUGGCUCAGGAUGAACGCUAGCUACAGGCUUAACACAUGCAAGUCGAGGGGCAGCAUUUCAGUUUGCUUGCAAACUGGAGAUGGCGACCGGCGCACGGGUGAGUAACACGUAUCCAACCUGCCGAUAACUCGGGGAUAGCCUUUCGAAGGAAAGAUUAAUACCCGAUGGUAUAAUCAGACCGCAUGGUCUUGUUAUUAAAGAAUUUCGGUUAUCGAUGGGGAUGCGUUCCAUUAGGCAGUUGGUGAGGUAACGGCUCACCAAACCUUCGAUGGAUAGGGGUUCUGAGAGGAAGGUCCCCCACAUUGGAACUGAGACACGGUCCAAACUCCUACGGGAGGCAGCAGUGAGGAAUAUUGGUCAAUGGGCGCAGGCCUGAACCAGCCAAGUAGCGUGAAGGAUGACUGCCCUAUGGGUUGUAAACUUCUUUUAUAUGGGAAUAAAGUUUUCCACGUGUGGAAUUUUGUAUGUACCAUAUGAAUAAGGAUCGGCUAACUCCGUGCCAGCAGCCGCGGUAAUACGGAGGAUCCGAGCGUUAUCCGGAUUUAUUGGGUUUAAAGGGAGCGUAGGUGGACAGUUAAGUCAGUUGUGAAAGUUUGCGGCUCAACCGUAAAAUUGCAGUUGAUACUGGCUGUCUUGAGUACAGUAGAGGUGGGCGGAAUUCGUGGUGUAGCGGUGAAAUGCUUAGAUAUCACGAAGAACUCCGAUUGCGAAGGCAGCUCACUGGACUGCAACUGACACUGAUGCUCGAAAGUGUGGGUAUCAAACAGGAUUAGAUACCCUGGUAGUCCACACAGUAAACGAUGAAUACUCGCUGUUUGCGAUAUACAGUAAGCGGCCAAGCGAAAGCAUUAAGUAUUCCACCUGGGGAGUACGCCGGCAACGGUGAAACUCAAAGGAAUUGACGGGGGCCCGCACAAGCGGAGGAACAUGUGGUUUAAUUCGAUGAUACGCGAGGAACCUUACCCGGGCUUAAAUUGCAUUUGAAUAUAUUGGAAACAGUAUAGCCGUAAGGCAAAUGUGAAGGUGCUGCAUGGUUGUCGUCAGCUCGUGCCGUGAGGUGUCGGCUUAAGUGCCAUAACGAGCGCAACCCUUAUCUUUAGUUACUAACAGGUCAUGCUGAGGACUCUAGAGAGACUGCCGUCGUAAGAUGUGAGGAAGGUGGGGAUGACGUCAAAUCAGCACGGCCCUUACGUCCGGGGCUACACACGUGUUACAAUGGGGGGUACAGAAGGCAGCUACCUGGUGACAGGAUGCUAAUCCCAAAAGCCUCUCUCAGUUCGGAUCGAAGUCUGCAACCCGACUUCGCGAAGCUGGAUUCGCUAGUAAUCGCGCAUCAGCCAUGGCGCGGUGAAUACGUUCCCGGGCCUUGUACACACCGCCCGUCAAGCCAUGAAAGCCGGGGGUACCUGAAGUACGUAACCGCAAGGAGCGUCCUAGGGUAAAACUGGUAA